UGAGGAACAUGACCUUCGGCGGGGGAUAGCCGGCCCAACGGCCGGGUAAUACCGCGUACGACCACAUGGGGACAUCCCUGAGUGGUGAAAGCAGCAAUGCGCCGAUGGAGUGCCUCGCAGCCUAUCAGCUAGUCGGUGAGGUAACGGCUCACCAAGGCAACGACGGGUAGCUGGUCUGGGGAGGAUGGCCAGCCACAUUGGGACUGAGACACGGCCCAGACCUCCGUACGGGAGCAG
rnacentral:rRNA from 1 species